rnacentral:lncRNA from 10 species
GGGCCUUGGUUCCCUAGAGACAAGGAAAGCAUUUGGGGGUGAAGGCAGGAAGGCUAGAAGAGAGUGGAUGGAAGAUUCUAUGGGGUAAGAGUGAAUUGAGGAAAACCCCAUGAAAUUUGGGAAAAGGAACACUAUUUCUGAUUUGGUUUGUCUAAAGCAGAGGGACCUUUUAUCCCCACUUUUUCUUUAUCAUAGUUUACUUUCUCCCUAGACUUGUUUUAUUUCCUGUGUUGCAAGUGGGCAGAGGCCACAUUUGUGUUGCAUUUCCCAUGGUCUAGCCUCAUUUCUCGAAAGUGUUUGGUUCCAUUGUUUGUCAUGAAACUCACUCAGAAGAACAGAUAGAGGCUCCCAUGCUAGACUUUGGAAAAUAGGGAAAAUAUAUCUUUGACAAUGUGACACUAAACCAAGGCUGUCCAGAUCCUGU